rnacentral:rRNA from 2 species
UGGGGAAUAUUGGACAAUGGGCGCAAGCCUGAUCCAGCCAUGCCGCGUGAGUGAUGAAGGCCCUAGGGUUGUAAAGCUCUUUCACCGGUGAAGAUAAUGACGGUAACCGGAGAAGAAGCCCCGGCUAACUUCGUGCCAGCAGCCGCGGUAAUACGAAGGGGGCUAGCGUUGUUCGGAUUUACUGGGCGUAAAGCGCACGUAGGCGGACUUUUAAGUCAGGGGUGAAAUCCCGGGGCUCAACCCCGGAACUGCCUUUGAUACUGGUAGUCUUGAGUUCGAGAGAGGUGAGUGGAAUUCCGAGUGUAGAGGUGAAAUUCGUAGAUAUUCGGAGGAACACCAGUGGCGAAGGCGGCUCACUGGCUCGAUACUGACGCUGAGGUGCGAAAGCGUGGGGAGCAAACAGG